rnacentral:lncRNA from 1 species
CUUAAUGGGAUUUCCGUCCGUCCGUCCGCCAAAGAACGGCGCCUCUGUGUGGGGCUGGGAGGGCAGCCAAUGGGGCGGACGGACCCACCGACCCCAAAGAAUGGCCCCUAUUGAGGGGCGGACGGACCCCAAACAGUGACCCCAUUGUGGGGUGGGACAGACAGACAGAUGGACCCCAAACAGUGACCCCAUUGUGGGACAGACGGACGGACCCCAAACAGUGACCCCAUUGUGGGACAGACGGACCCCAAACAGUGACCCCAUUGAGGGAUGGACAGACGGACGGACCCCAAACAGUGACCCCAUUGUGGGACAGACGGACGGACCCCAAACAGUGACCCCAUUGUGGGACAGACAGAUGGACCCCAAAGAAUGACCCCAUUGUGGGGCGGACGGACCCCAAUCAAUGACCCCAAAGAAUGACCCCAUUGAGGGAUGGACAGACGGACGGGCCCCAAACAGUGACCCCAUUGAGGGACGGACGGACCCCAAACAGUGACCCCAAAGAAUG